AGCGAACGCUGGCGGCAGGCCUAACACAUGCAAGUCGAACGAACUCUUCGGAGUUAGUGGCGGACGGGUGAGUAACACGUGGGAACGUGCCUUUAGGUUCGGAAUAACUCAGGGAAACUUGUGCUAAUACCGAAUGUGCCCUUCGGGGGAAAGAUUUAUCGCCUUUAGAGAGGCCCGCGUCUGAUUAGCUAGUUGGAGGUGUAAUGGACCCCCAAGGCGACGAUCAGUAGCUGGUCUGAGAGGAUGACCAGCCACAUUGGACUGAGACACGGCCCAAACUCCGACGGGAGGCAGCAGUGGGGAAUCUUGCGAAAUGGGCUAAAGCCUGACGCAGCCAUGCCGCGUGGAUGAUGAAGGUCUUAGGAUUGUAAAAUCCUUUCACCGGUGAAGAUAAUGACUGUAGCCGGAGAAGAAGCCCCGGCUAACUUCGUGCCAGCAGCCGCGGUAAAAC
rnacentral:rRNA from 1 species